CCUACGGGAGUCUGCAGUGGGGAAUAUUGGACAAUGGGGGCAACCCUGAUCCAGCCAUGCCGCGUGUGUGAAGAAGGCCCUCGGGUUGUAAAGCACUUUCAGUGAGGAAGAACGCCUGGUGGUUAAUACCCAUCAGGAAAGACAUCACUCACAGAAGAAGCACCGGCUAACUCCGUGCCAGCAGCCGCGGUAAUACGGAGGGUGCGAGCGUUAAUCGGAAUUACUGGGCGUAAAGCGCGCGUAGGUGGCUUGAUAAGCCGGUUGUGAAAGCCCCGGGCUCAACCUGGGAACGGCAUCCGGAACUGUCAAGCUAGAGUGCAGGAGAGGAAGGUAGAAUUCCCGGUGUAGCGAUGAAAUGCGUAGAGAUCGGGAGGAAUACCAGUGGCGAAGGCGGCCUUCUGGACUGACACUGACACUGAGGUGCGAAAGCGUGGGUAGCAAACAGGAUUAGAUACCCUAGUAGUC
rnacentral:rRNA from 1 species